AAUAUCCAGUUAUGAAGUGCAAAACUAUCAACAGCCACAAGCCAAUUUCUGCCAAUACAACACAGAAGAGACGUACUUUGUGAUCACGUGAAUAAACUUCAAAUUUUCUUUGGAUCUUUAUAAACAACUCUCCACAUUUGACUAGAGCUAUAGGUAGGAAACAUGCAAAGAAGUUGAACAUGAUCUGCCUCAAAAAGUAAAAGGUCAAGACAAGGUCAAGACAAGGUAUCCGACACAGUGGUCUUAAAAAGUGACGGUCUUCAUAACAUCCACAAAACCCUUAUUCAGUAACAAUGGCGACGGUCAAGCACUCGGACAGAGGAUGGUGACAGACAAACUACUGGUUAUUACAUGUGUGCUGUGAUUUCCUGUACAAAGGUGAAUACCUUGUUUACGCUAUCGUUUCGAUAGGAUCAAACUGUAACUUCAGAGGCGGUGACCACAUCAACAACUUUGUCUCCCAUAGCAAGAAAAAUGAAAAUAACCCAGUUCCCAGAUAGGUCUCUACAUAAACCGAUGAUCUACGACAUUCCCACUA
rnacentral:sRNA from 1 species